rnacentral:lncRNA from 1 species
GCCACGUAACCUGCCUUUGUGACCGACAAAACGUACCAAAACGUCUUUCUUCACCUCUCCUUCAACGUUUCAUCCUCUUCACAUUGCAAGACCCACCGACUCAACGAUUCUCCUUCUCCUCUAAACGUAACUCCUGCUUCCUCCCCAACAAAGAAUACCAACGACAUCAUCCGGAAAAAAAAAAACCCAUAAUUUUGCGAGCAAACAUUUGUCAAAUUCAUCAAUGUCGCUUGAUCACUGAUAUUGAUUUUCCUGGCUUCUUCAAUAGAAAACAGCGACCACACGAAAAGAAACCCUAAUUUUAUGUCCAAAUAAUUUGAUAACACUUGUCUGUCCACUAGAGAAUUGAAUGGUGUAAUAUGGUGGAAAUCAAAUAUUCAUCAUCAUCAUGGUACUUCUUUGCUCUGUUUCAUAUGCUUUUAACAUAAAACACUCAUCUCUCUCUCUCUCUCUCUCUCUCUCUCACCAUAUCUGGAACCCCCAACACCCCAGUUGCCGCCACUGUAUUAAAGAGGGACGCAGAGAAGAUAACGACACAUUCAAGCUGACCAUCUACUGUAUGUAAAUCUUCAAACCCAUUUUUUUCAGUUCAGUUUUUCGAUUUUGAAAGAUCAAAACCUUAUAUUCCUUUGUAAUUCUUUCAGUUUUCUCUUCUUCAUUUAUUGUUUUGAUUUUGGGAUGGCAAUGGCCCUAUACCCAUCCCGGUUAUGUUUAAUUUGACUGUAUCUCUCCUACAAACAUCAAUUUCGGUGGCUAGACUUGCAGAACUCCAUCACCAAUAUUUUCUCCUCAAAAACCAAAUUUAAAUUGUAGAGAUUAGGACAAAUAUGCUUAAUGGUGAUGUGAUAAAGAUGCAUAUUAUGUGAAAUGUAAGAUUUUGAGUGUGUACUGAAAUUUUGGAUGACAUCAUGAUGUUCAUUGUUACCUAUGCCAAAGAUGUUAAUGCCCUUCUUUUGUUCUUAUGGUGAGUUCUCCUCUUUAUGUUGCACUACAAUAUUUAGAAACUGAUGAAUUUCCAAGUUCCAAAAGGUCUUGGCUGCAAGAUGUCCAAUUGUUAAGCUUUGAAAGCCAUUAAACUGGGAACAAUCUUGGUAUAUACAUGAAGACUAUAAUUUAACUGUUAUCAGCAAUCCAAUCGACAUAUUUCUUUGCCCUGAUUAAAUCUUAUUCAAAAUUGUCCGUUUUUCUCAAAUCUUGCAAACUCGAUUUUAUUUCAGAGGUUUGUUCCGGUUUGUAAUUUCAGUAUCUUUUUUUCCAAAAACAUAAUUUCUCAAUUCUAUGGAUGAUUAACAAUUGCAACAGUACAAAAUAGAUUGCCGCGACUUUUCCUUGAUUGGUUGUUGGUAAAUUGUAGACUACUAAGAUUCAAUGACAUAAAGGGGCUAUAUUUUUCAAAAAAAUAAUAAAUAAAUAAAUAAAUAAACCUAAGUGAUUGCAAUCUUUUUCUAGGGUAUAGAAAGGGUACUUGAUAUUCCUUUUCAAUUGAAGCAUCUGAUAAAUUAUAUUUCAAGAUUUGUUAUAUGUCUUUACUAAAUUUCAGUUUGUGUGAGUUAUUUAAUUUACUCCUACUUUUGACAGCACCAUAGAAGGACAAGAAGUAAUCUGAUAUGGUUUCUGCUUUCUUUCUAUUUCCUGUCAAAUGUUGUUAAGGUAAUAACCGGAGAGCAAAGCUAAUGUAACAAACUGGCUUAAUUUAUAUAAGAGUUAAGUAAAACAUCACUAUAAGACCUCAAAAAGACCAACAUUCAAUGAAGAAGUUGAACAUUCUGCUUCACCUGUUUCAAAAAGCAUAGUACCCAAUCUUUAUUAAGGUUGGUCUUGUAACUGCUUAUGAAUCAUAAAUUAGAUAUGACUGCAAUUUUCUUAAACUGCAUGAGAUUUUCCAGAAGAACAAAAAACUUAAAUUUAGAACCAACUAAAACACUAAACAGUGGAACAACCAAAUAUUUAGUUCAAACUUGCAUUUAAGUACAAUACAAUUAUUUUCUUAAUGAAAAAUGCAAUCUUAAUUUUUUUUGUUAAUUAAACCUGAUUAACUGUUUGUAUUAGUGUUAUGUUUUGGAGGCCAAAUUUACUUAUGUUUAUAGAUGCUUGUUUAAAAGAGGUUCAUUAUUUUUCCGAGUCUAGAUCCAUAGCUUUCUUUACUAAGCCGACGGAGACUUUUCCUUUUUUCCAUCAGAAAGAUCCCUUGUGCUGCGUUUUUUUUUAAUGCUAGCUAUAAUUAGUUCGAUUUUGGAAAGUAUAAUGUCCUUAUAAUACCUUGUUGCUUAGAUGAUACAAAAGGCAAGGCUACUAAUAUAAAAUUGUUUCUCAUUCAUUUACAUGUUUUUGGCAUCCCCAACAACUGUUCCACAUGAUCCAGAGUAUACAGGCAUCUAUAUGACUUAAAAUUGCAUAUGGUGAGGAUCGUGACGUGUUAUAUAGUUCAAUUAGACAAUGUAUACUUUGUGUGUUUCAGGUGGGAUACAUUGAAGAGUAGUACAUGCAGCGUAUAGAUGACAUCGUAACCCACUACAACAGAAAAGAAGAUUAACCUGUAAUUGUAUUUUAAGAUGCCACUCUAGCAACUUUGAAUCCCAUAAUAACCAAAUUUGAAAUUUAUAUCCUACAAAAAGAUUUGCUCGGAUUGUCACAAAUUUGGGAGCGAGAAAUAAAAUACAAUGCUCUAGAAAUUGGUACUUCACAAAGCUCAAUUGAAGAAAAUAAGGACA